rnacentral:rRNA from 1 species
CCUACGGGUGGCAGCAGUGGGGAAUAUUGGGCAAUGGGCGGAAGCCUGACCCAGCGACGCCGCGUGAGGGAAGACAGCCUUCGGGUUGUAAACCUCUGUUGCAGGGGAAGAAGGACGUGACGGUACCCUGCGAGGAAGCUCCGGCUAACUACGUGCCAGCAGCCGCGGUAAUACGUAGGGAGCGAGCGUUGUCCGGAAUUACUGGGCGUAAAGGGCGCGUAGGCGGCGCUUCAAGUCGUCUGUCAAAAGCCGAGGCUCAACCUCGGUGCGCAGACGAAACUGGAGAGCUUGAGAAGCAGAGAGGCAAACAGAAUUCCUGGUGUAGCGGUGAAAUGCGUAGAUAUCAGGAAGAAUACCAGUGGCGAAGGCGGUUUGCUGGCUGCAUACUGACGCUGAAGCGCGAAAGCCAGGGGAGCAAACGGGAUUAGAUACCCCAGUAGUC